rnacentral:rRNA from 1 species
AGAACGAACGCUGGCGGCGUGCCUAACACAUGCAAGUCGAACGGGAUUAAGGGGCUUGCCUCUUAAUUUAGUGGCGCACGGGUGAGUAACGCGUGGAUAACCUGCCCUGGUAUCCGGGAUAACACCUCGAAAGGGGUGCUAAUACGGGAUAAGCCCACGGGGUCUUCGGACCUUGCGGGAAAAGGUGGCCUCUGAAUAUGCUGCCGUAUCAGGAUGGGUCCGCGUACCAUUAGCUAGUUGGUAGUGUAAUGGACCACCAAGGCUACGAUGGUUAGCUGGUCUGAGAGGAUGAUCAGCCACACUGGAACUGAGACACGGUCCAGACUCCUACGGGAGGCAGCAGUGGGGAAUUUUGCGCAAUGGGGGUAACCCUGACGCAGCAACGCCGCGUGAGUGAUGAAGGCCUUCGGGUCGUAAAGCUCUGUCAGAGGGAAAGAAGUGUAGCAUGGUUAAUACCCAUACUACUUGACGGUACCCUCAAAGGAAGCACCGGCUAACUCCGUGCCAGCAGCCGCGGUAAUAC